AUCCUCUUGUGGUACAUGAGGGUGAUGAUGGGGUGUUCGUGAGCAUGCGUAAACUGUGCCACCCUCAAUCCUUGUUACGAUGUCAGCACAUUACCCAUCUGCUA
ensembl:snoRNA